AACCGCAUCAGGUCUCCAA
rnacentral:snRNA from 1 species